rnacentral:rRNA from 1 species
GAGCACGUAGGUGGGUUUGUAAGUCAGAUGUGAAAGCCUUCUGUUCAACGGAAGAAUUGCAUCUGAAACUACAAGUCUUGAGUAUAGGAGGGGAGAAUGGAACUUCUGGUGGAGCGGUGAAAUGCGUAGAUAUCAGAAGGAACGCCGGCGGCGAAAGCGAUUCUCUGGCCUAUUACUGACACUCAGUGUGCGAAAGCUAGGGGAGCAAACGGGAUUAGAUACCCCGGUAGUCCUAGCCGUAAACGAUGGGCACUAAGUAGAGGGGAUUACCGAUGUUCUCUCUGCCGUAGCUAACGCAUUAAGUGCCCCGCCUGGGGAGUACGGCCGCAAGGCUAAAACUCAAAAGAAUUGACGGGGGCUCGCACAAGCGGUGGAGCAUGUGGCUUAAUUCGAUGCAACGCGAAGAACCUUACCGGGGCUUGACAUGGUAGAAGUAGGAACCUGAAAGGGUAACAAACGGUAUCCAGUCCGUAGCUAUCACAGGUGUUGCAUGGCUGUCGUCAGCUCGUGUCGUGAGACGUUGGGUUAAGUCCCCUAACGAGCGAAACCCUUAUUUUUAGUUACCAGCGGGUUGUGCCGGGUACUCUAGAAAGACUGCCGUCGUCAAGACGGAGGAAGGUGGGGAUGACGUCAAGUCAUCAUGGCCCUUAUGCCCCGGGCUGCACACGUGCUACAAUGGUCGGUACAAACGGAAGCGAAGCCGAGAGGUGAAGCGAAUCC